AACGCAACUUGCGCCAUGUAUAUGGCAUGUCUGUUUGAGUGCCGCAAAGGACUUGUAUUGCGUAUUGGCGGUUGUCUGUGCAUCUGUGCGGACUCUGUCUAAAUGCAGCCAGCAAUGUCGUGGAUGUGACAGUCCGAGUGCUAAGCAUUCUUCUUGGUCUGAUCGCAACUGCGGCCGAGGGUGGGCUAGUGGUGGAUGAUUGUGUGCAAACCAUGUCGUCACUCCCUAUCCCCUCCCCUCCAUCUUCUAUUGGCCUCAAAUCAGGCAGGAUCACCCGCUGAACUUAA
rnacentral:misc_RNA from 1 species